GCAAAAACUAAACGCCCAUUCAUCAAGCGAGUCGAGAUGAGAGGAAUCAUUGUAUAAAAGGCUAGCAUGUAAAAGCUGGAAGAAGGAAAGAACACGGGAUAUGUAAUGGAACAUGGGAAAUUGAUAUGGACAUUGAUAUGGACAUUGAUAUGAACAUGAAUAUGAACAUGAAUAUGAACAUGAAUAUGGUAUAGAGAACUACAUCGACACAGAAAAGAAAACAAAAGUUGCUAAAAUGACAAAGGUGCCGAAUCAACAGGCCAUAGUACCGAUGGAAUCCAAAUACAAUCCAAGAAUCAUUCAAACAUCGCAAA
rnacentral:lncRNA from 1 species